rnacentral:lncRNA from 1 species
UGGGAAUUGAGAGAGACCUGUCACCAAAGAUAUGGCAGCUGGGGAUCGCCAGAGCGCAGCCCUGUUUGCAUAACAGACUUCUGAAGGACUUGUAACAGACCUUCAGGAUUUCUUUGCCUAAUUCCCCAUAUGAUGGAAUGAAUCUUUUCGUGACCAGCAUGGAUAUGAGAACGUUUUCAAGAUGGUUAAGAAUUGCAAUGAGGAACAAAGUGAAAGGACAAGAGGGAGCAUCUACUUCUAUUGACAUCUAA